CCUACGGGUGGCAGCAGUGAGGAAUAUUGGUCAAUGGACGAGAGUCUGAACCAGCCAAGUAGCGUGAAGGAUGACUGCCCUUGGGGUUGUAAACUUCUUUUAUAUGGGAAUAAAAUGUUCCACGGGUGGGAUGUGAUAUGUCCCAUAUGAAUAAGGUUCGGCAAACUCGUGACCAGACGCCUCGGUAAUACGGAGGAUCAGAGCGUUUUCCGGUUUUAUUGGGUUUAAAGGGGGGCUAGGUGGGUUGUUAAGUCACUUGGGAAAGGUUGCGGCUCACGCGGUAAAUUGCAGUUGAAACUGGCAGUCUUGAGUACAGUAGAGGUGGGCGGAAUGUGUGGUGUAGCGGUGAAAUGCUUAGAUAUCACGCAGAACUCCGAUUGCGAAGGCAGCUCACUGGACUGCAACUGACACUGAGGCACGAAAGUGUGGGUAUCAAACAGGAUUAGAUACCCGAGUAGUC
rnacentral:rRNA from 1 species